UAAGACAAGUCUAUUUUUUCUUAUUCUAACUUAUUGCACCAGUGCAGCAGUGCAGCGAAAAAGAACAGGCCUUUUGUGCUCUCGUGUCUCGUGGUCACUCGUUGUGGUGUUUUUAAACAGUGGCAUUAAAGUUUUCACCAACACUUCCGAGGAUCUCUUUAACUAGAUGAAAGAUCAAAUCUUUAAUUAUAAACGUUUGAAGAUUAUUUAUAAAGAAACUUAUAAAUUGCCACAUAUACAGGACUACACAUCAGCAACACAUCAGAACCAAAGAUUUUUACCAACACUUCCGAGGAGCUUUUCAACUAGAUGAAAGAUCAAAGAUUACACCUUUAAUUAUAAACAUUUGAAGAUUAUUUAUGAAGAAAAUUGUAAAUUGUCACACAUACAGGACUAUACAUCAGCAACACAUCAGGACCAAAGAAUUGAUAUUCCAUCUGAAUUUGAUUCUAUAACUGCGGAAUGGUUUCGCUUCGCCAAACAGCAGAAAACGAGAGAAGACAUCCUUCGGUUGGUAUCACUUUUUUCGCUCCUCUCCCAUCUCCCCAGCUCCUCCGUGCGCCCAGUAACACGUACGGCGUUUCGCGUGUAUGCGUGAUCGCCGCGCGCUUAACGUCGCGGGACACCAUUUCUGCCGGUGCGCGUACACGCAUCGGCAGAAAUGGUGUCCCUCGGCGUAAAAAUUGGGGAUUGCGCCGGUGUUGCAUCCUUCACCAACGCUACACGCUCAAGAAGGAUAGAGUUAU